rnacentral:rRNA from 1 species
CACGUAGGGUGCGAGCGUUGUCCGGAAUUAUUGGGCGUAAAGAGCUCGUAGGCGGUGUGUCGCGUCGGCCGUGAAAACCUGCAGCUUAACUGUGGGCUUGCGGUCGAUACGGGCAUCACUGGAGUUCGGCAGGGGAGACUGGAAUUCCUGGUGUAGCGGUGAAAUGCGCAGAUAUCAGGAGGAACACCUGCGGCGAAGGCGGGUUGCUGGGCUGACACUGACGCUGAGGCGCGAAAGCCAGGGGAGCGAACGGG